rnacentral:rRNA from 1 species
AGAGUUUGAUCCUGGCUCAGGACGAACGCUGGCGGCGUGCUUAACACAUGCAAGUCGAACGAUGAACCUGGAGCUUGCUCUAGGGAAUUAGUGGCGAACGGGUGAGUAACACGUGAGUAACCUGCCCUUGACUCUGGGAUAACCUCCGGAAACGGAAGCUAAUACCGGAUAUGACGCACGGAGGCAUCUCCUGUGCGUGGAAAGAACUUCGGUCAAGGAUGGACUCGCGGCCUAUCAGGUAGUUGGUGAGGUAACGGCUCACCAAGCCUACGACGGGUAGCCGGCCUGAGAGGGUGACCGGCCACACUGGGACUGAGACACGGCCCAGACUCCUACGGGAGGCAGCAGUGGGGAAUAUUGCACAAUGGGCGCAAGCCUGAUGCAGCAACGCCGCGUGAGGGACGACGGCCUUCGGGUUGUAAACCUCUUUUAGCAGGGAAGAAGCGAAAGUGACGGUACCUGCAGAAA